CUAGCGACUUCAGAGUUUGAUCCUGGCUCAGGAUGAACGCUGGCGGCAUUCCUAACACAUGCAAGUCGAACGAAGCGGUGUGGAAUGAGACUUCGGUUGAUUGAAACAUUGACUUAGUGGCGGACGGGUGAGUAACGCGUGAGUAAUCUGCCUUAGAUGGGGGAUAACGCUCCGAAAGGAACGCUAAUACCGCAUAAUAUAUUGAGAUCGCAUGAUCUUGAUAUCAAAGAUUUAUUGCUUUAAGAUGAGCUCGCGUAUGAUUAGCUAGUUGGUGAGGUAACGGCUCACCAAGGCGACGAUCAUUAGCCGGACUGAGAGGUUGAACGGCCACAUUGGGACUGAGACACGGCCCAG
rnacentral:rRNA from 1 species